UCCGGUUGAUCCUGCCGGACCUGACUGCUAUCGGAUUGAUACUAAGCCAUGCGAGUCAUUGUAGCAAUACAAGGCAUACGGCUCAGUAACGCGUAGUCAACCUAACCUAUGGACGGAAAUAACCUCGGGAAACUGAGAAUAAUGUCCGAUAGAACACUAUACCUGGAAUGGUUUGUGUUCCAAAUGAUUUAUCGCCGUAGGAUGGGACUGCGGCCUAUCAGUUUGUUGGUGAGGUAAUGGCCCACCAAGACUAUUACAGGUACGGGCUCUGAGAGGAGUAGCCCGGAGAUGGGUACUGAGACACGGACCCAGGCCCUAUGGGGCGCAGCAGGCGAGAAAACUUUGCAAUGUGCGAAAGCACGACAAGGUUAAUCCGAGUGAUUUGUGCUAAACGAAUCUUUUGUUAGUCUUAGAACCACUAACGAAUAAGGGGUGGGCAAGUUCUGGUGUCAGCCGCCGCGGUAAAACCAGCACCUCAAGUGGUCAGGAUGAUUAUUGGGCCUAAAGCAUCCGUAGCCGGCUCUGUAAGUUUUCGGUUAAAUCUGUACGCUCAACGUACAGGCUGCCGGGAAUACUGCAGAG
rnacentral:rRNA from 1 species